AAGUCGUAACAAGGUUUCCGUAGGUCAACGUACGGAAGGAUCAUUAACACGUAUCCAAACGUUAAACCCCCCUCCGUGAACCUUCAUCGUGCCACUGAUAAACACAGGUAAAUCAUUGUCUGAGUCAGGACAGUGCGAGCUACACCCACGAGAGAAGCGCGAGUUCCAUCGGCAUUGUUUCCCCAAGCAGCCAGUGCGUGAAAGUGGCAACUGACUGUGCAAGGAUAACGCUCAACGAUUUUGCAGCCGCAACACGCGGGCAGAGUGCCGAUUUCACAUACAAAGCUCCAUUUUCAAUUAUGGAUGGGGUAAAACCGAACAACUGUUAACAAUGGAUAUCUUGCUUCUCG
rnacentral:misc_RNA from 1 species